rnacentral:rRNA from 1 species
GAUGAACGCUGGCGGCGUGCCUAAUACAUGCAAGUCGAGCGAACGGACGAGAAGCUUGCUUCUCUGAUGUUAGCGGAGGACGUGUGAGUAACACGUGGAUAACCUACCUAUAAGACUGGUAUAACUUCGGGACACCGGAGCUAAUCCCGGAUAAUCUUUUGAUCCGCAUGGUUCAAUAGUGAAAGACGGUCUUGCUGUCACUUAUAGAUGGAUACGCGCUGCAUUAGCUAGUUGGUAAGGUAACGGCUUACCACGGCAACGAUGCAUAGCCGACCUGAGAGGGUGAUCGGCCACACUGGAACUGAGACACGGUCCAGACUCCUACGGGAGGCAGCAGUAGGGAAUGGUCCGCAAUGUGCGGAAGCCUGCCGGAGCAGCGGAGCGUGAGUGAUGAAGGGCUUCGGAUCGGAAAACGCUGUUAUUAGGGUAGAACAUAUGUGUAAGUAACUGUGCACAUCUUGACGGUAUCUAAUCAGAAAGCCACGGCUAACUACGU